NNGAAACUCCGGUGGUAAAGAUGGCAUGCGUCCUAUUAGUUAGUUGGUAAGGUAACGGCUUACCAAANCUNCGAUAGGUAGGGGUCCUGAGAGGANGAUCCCNNNNACUGGUACUGAGACACGGACCAGACUCCUACGGGAGGCAGCAGUGAGGAAUAUUGGACAAUGGAGGCAACUCUGAUCCAGCCAUGCCGCGNGCAGGAAGACGGCCNACGGGUUGUAAACUGCUUUUAUACAGGAAGAACUAUAUCUACGUGUAGAUAUUUGACGGUACUGUACGAAUAAGGAU
rnacentral:rRNA from 1 species